CAAACAACAUAUUUGAGUAUGAAAGCAUAAACACAGCAAAUAGAUUAAGGGAAAGAAAGGAUCUCUUCACUGUAUUAAGAUCUGAUUGAAACUCUGAAAAUAAUCGAUAAAUAGCUUAUAUCUCUCAGUAAUAGGGUUUGCAGAAAACUUGGUAAUGAAAACUAGAUGAUGAAAACUUAGGUCUAAACAAUGUAUAUAAACCCUAAAAACAUCCAGGGACUAAUAAUGAAAAUAGGGCAAAUUUCUUCUUCUGUAAACUCGAAAGCGCCUAGGACUUUUGCUGGGUCUAAACUGGUGUCGAUCGACACAAAGAGUGUGUCGAUCGACACUCCUCGCUGAUUCCUGAAUCCAAAAUCGUCCUUAGCUUCCUUUCCUUUAGCUCUUGCUCCAAAAUGUCUCCUUAUCUCUGUUGUUGUCUCGUUGUUUAGUAUACCUGAAAAGACACUAAAAGACUCGAGAAAUAACAUAAAGACUCAAAAUCCCAUACCUAAAACAUAGAUAAAAUCAGUGAAAAGCGGGUUAUAUCAAUCACUCCUAAUAAUGUAUAAUAAUGGGGUCAUGGAAAACUUUUCUACCCCUAUACACUACCAAAAUCAUAUCAAUCUCUUGUUUUU
rnacentral:sRNA from 1 species